CUCACAAACAGCACACUAAAAGCCCCCGCACAAACACACACACAGCACACUCACACACAAACAGCACACUAACAGGACCCUAACAAACACACACGCAAACAGCACCCUCACACAGCACACUAGCAGCACACACACACACAGCAGUGUUAUAUAUACAUACAUACAUAUACACGCGGCGUGUGUUUGUGCUUUAGGGUGCACACGUUAGAACAUGUCCAUGAAUGUAGGCUUCUCUCGGGGGCAUAGCUCCCCUAUUGGUCACAUAGGGGAGUAGCGUGGGCUUGGGCCAUAUGGUCCCACGCAUGCCAGGCGGGAAUGCUGGAUUAUGGGCAGUAGCGGGGAGUUUGAGCCUAUUAGGUAAUGCUUUUCGGGCAAAUUUCCUCCAAAGUUGUAUCAGAGGGCUUUUUGUGGGGUGUGGUCUAGGGCAGAUAGUAGAUAUCGCCCCCGUCUGCCACGGUAUGGAGGCCAGCGGGACCUCCACUCAUUCUUGUUCCAG